rnacentral:rRNA from 1 species
AUAUGUACCCGGGCCUUGUACACACCGCCCGUCACACCCUGGGAAUUGGUUUCGCCCGAAGCAUCGGACCAAUGAUCACCCAUGACUUCUGUGUACCACUAGUGCCACAAAGGCUUUUGGUGGUCUUAUUGGCGCAUACCACGGUGGGGUCUUCGACUGGGGUGAAGUCGUAACAAGGUAACCA